rnacentral:rRNA from 1 species
AUUUUCUGCCACCGAAUACAUUAGCAUGGGAUAAUGGAAUAGGACCCUGUCCUCCUAUUUUCAGUUGGUUUUGGCAGCGCGAGGACUAGGGUAAUGAUUAAUAGGGAUAGUUGGGGGCAUUAAUAUUUAAUUGUCAGAGGUGAAAUUCUUGGAUUUAUGAAAGAUUAACUUCUGCGAAAGCAUCUGCCAAGGAUGUUUUCAUUAAUCAAGAACGAAAGUUAGGGGAUCGAAGACGAUCAGAUACCGUCGUAGUCUUAACCAUAAACGAUGCCGACCAGCGAUUAGGAGACGUUGAAUACAAAACACCACCAUCGGUGCGGUCGUCCUUGGCGUCUCGGUCCUUCACGGGGCCGGGGCGCGGGGGUGGCUUAGCCCGGUGGCACCGGUGAAUGACUCCCCUAGC